UAGUGGCUACUGAAGGUUUGAUCCUUCGUGA
rnacentral:piRNA from 1 species